rnacentral:tRNA from 1 species
GGAAGCGUGCCUGAAAGUUAAGGACUUCCUUGAUAGGGAAACUAAUAUGGGUUCAAACCCCCUCGCUUCCC